AGUGAACCCAGGUUGUGCUGAGCUUGUGCUGGUGAGGUGGAUGGUGUGCUUACAAAACAACCCAAAACCGGAAUCCAUCAGGUCGAUGACAAAAGGGCAACAAACAGACAAAAGAUAGACAAAGAUGUACACCCCCCUCUAUUUGGAAGCAUCCAGUAUCACAGUAGAAACAUCCAUAGUACAUCAUCUAUUUCCUCCACGGGACCCAUCCUACCUCCUGAAACUUUUAUGUGUAGCCCUGUAUGUAUGUAUACAUUUCCAACGCUCAUCAGUAAGAAUCAACUGCACACGCACAGCCAGCUCAAUCCACCCAGGACCAAACAAAUGAUGCUGCUUCUACUUGGACGGAACUAAAACUCAACUUGUUUAACACAAUUAGUUGACUGCAGCCAACUGUCACUCAGGGCAACAUAUGGCCCUAAAAUGCUCUUAAGCAGACUAACUGUGGAUAGUAAUGAAGCACAGCAGGACCCAGUGAAGACCAGCCAAUUAACUUGUUGGUCAUCAAUUUCAUGAAGGACUGGAUAUUUUAUAUCCUGACUCAAGAGUGCACUCCAGUGGGAAUACAAAAUACCACAGCUGCGUAAUGGAAAAAAAAGGAAGAAUUGGUGUUAAAUUAAAAAUGUUCAAUAAAAUGAGAUAACGGAAGGG
ensembl:lncRNA